rnacentral:rRNA from 1 species
AUACUCAUUUACAAUGAGCAAGUUCCUAAUUGGAAGUUUUAUUAUAUUACAAUUGCAUUACAUUGCUGUAUGAGAUUACUAUAUCAAGUAAAUCGUACCUUUUGCAUAAUGGUGAUACUAAACUACUAUAAAUAUUUUAACUCCCGAAAAUAAAAGAUC